rnacentral:rRNA from 1 species
AUUGAACGCUGGCGGCAUGCUUUACACAUGCAAGUCGAACGGUAACAGGCCGCAAGGUGCUGACGAGUGGCGAACGGGUGAGUAAUGCAUCGGAACGUGCCCAGUCGUGGGGGAUAACUACUCGAAAGAGUAGCUAAUACCGCAUACGAUCUAUGGAUGAAAGCGGGGGACCGUAAGGCCUCGCGCGAUUGGAGCGGCCGAUGUCAGAUUAGGUAGUUGGUGGGGUAAAGGCUCACCAAGCCAACGAUCUGUAGCUGGUCUGAGAGGACGACCAGCCACACUGGGACUGAGACACGGCCCAGACUCCUACGGGAGGCAGCAGUGGGGAAUUUUGGACAAUGGGCGCAAGCCUGAUCCAGCAAUGCCGCGUGCAGGAAGAAGGCUUUCGGGUUGUAAACUGCUUUUGUACGGAACGAAACGGCUCUGGUUAAUACCCGGGGCUAAUGACGGUACCGUAAGAAUAAGCACCGGCUAACUACGUG